AUACUUACUUGACAGGGGAGGGACUGUGAUCAAAAAGGUGGUUCUCCCAGGACAAGGCAAUCCCAUUGCAAUUCAGGUGUGGUUACGCCUGCAAUGUCCCCAAAUGCGGGAUAUUCGACUGCAAAACUUGUGGUAGUGGGGGACUGCGUACGUGCUUGA